rnacentral:rRNA from 1 species
UACAGAGGGUGCAAGCGUUAAUCGGCAUUACUGGGCGUAAAGCGUGCGUAGACGGUUAUGUAAGUCGGGUGUGAAAGCCCCGGGCUCAACCUGGGAAUGCCAUUCGAGACUGCAUAGCUAGGGUGCGGAAGAGGGAAGCGGAAUUUCCGGUGUAGCGGUGAAAUGCGUAGAUAUCGGAAGGAACACCAGUGGCGAAAGCGGCUUCCUGGUCCAGCACCGACGUUCAGGCACGAAAGCGUGGGGAGCAAACAGG